GGCGUGGCUCAGGGGUUGAGCCUCGACCUAGGAACCAGGAGGUCACGGUUCGAUUCCCGGUCGGGGCACAGGCCCGGGUUGUGGGCUCCAUCCCCAGUGGGGCGUGCAGGAGGCAGCCCAUCCAUGAUUCUCUCUCAUCAUGGAUAUUUCUCUCUCUCUCUCCCUCUCCCUUCCUCUCUGACAUCAACAGAAAAUAUAUGUAUAUU